GACGAACGCUGGCGGCAUGCCUAACACAUGCAAGUCGAGCGAGCAGAUCCCUUCGGGGUGAAGCUAGCGGCGGACGGGUGAGUAACACGUGGGCAACCUGCCUCAUAGAGGGGAAUAGCCUUCCGAAAGGAAGAUUAAUACCGCAUAAGAUUGUAGCUUCGCAUGAAGCAGCAAUUAAAGGAGCAAUCCGCUAUGAGAUGGGCCCGCGGCGCAUUAGCUAGUUGGUGAGGUAACGGCUCACCAAGGCGACGAUGCGUAGCCGACCUGAGAGGGUGAUCGGCCACAUUGGGACUGAGACACGGCCAGACUCCUACGGGAGGCAGCAGUGGGGAAUAUUGCACAAUGGGGGAAACCCUGAUGCAGCAAUGCCGCGUGAGUGAUGACGGCCUUCGGGUUGUAAAGCUCUGUCUUCGGGGACGAUAAUGACGGUACCCGAGGAGGAAGCCACGGUUAACUACGUGCCAGCCGCCGCAGUAA
rnacentral:rRNA from 1 species